UUUGAGGGAUGAUGAUGUCCUGACCCCACCUUAUUUAGUUUAAUUUUUCAUAAUUUUCUUGAUUAAUUUGCUAUUUAUUUCAUAUUUUUUAAGUUGACUUGAAUUUUUAGUUGACUUUCUUAUGAUCGAUGUUUGACUUAGGGAUUGCUUAUGGCAAUUGAAGAGAUCUUUUGAUCCUCCCUUGUUCAUAUCAUAUGCCAUGUAUUAGAGGUCUUUCAUCUUGAUUUUAUUUGAUCCUCACCUCAUUUCCUG
rnacentral:lncRNA from 1 species